AUUGAACGCUGGCGGCAGGCCUAACACAUGCAAGUCGAGCGGAUGAAGGGAGCUUGCUCCUGGAUUCAGCGGCGGACGGGUGAGUAAUGCCUAGGAAUCUGCCUGGUAGUGGGGGAUAACGUCCGGAAACGGGCGCUAAUACCGCAUACGUCCUGAGGGAGAAAGUGGGGGAUCUUCGGACCUCACGCUAUCAGAUGAGCCUAGGUCGGAUUAGCUAGUUGGUGGGGUAAAGGCCUACCAAGGCGACGAUCCGUAACUGGUCUGAGAGGAUGAUCAGUCACACUGGAACUGAGACACGGUCCAGGCUCCUGCGGGAGGCAGCAGUGGGGAAUAUUGGACAAUGGGGGAAAGCCUGAUCCAGCCAUGCCGCGUGUGUGAAGAAGGUCUUCGGAUUGUAAAGCACGUUAAGUUGGGAGGAAGGGCAGUAAGUUAAUACCUUGCUGUUUUGACGUUACCAACAGAAUAAGCACCGGCUAACUUCGUG
rnacentral:rRNA from 1 species